AUUGAACGCUGGCGGCAGGCCUAACACAUGCAAGUCGAACGGUAGCACAGAGAGCUUGCUCUCGGGUGACGAGUGGCGGACGGGUGAGUAAUGUCUGGGAAACUGCCCGAUGGAGGGGGAUAACUACUGGAAACGGUAGCUAAUACCGCAUAACGUCGCAAGCCCAAAGUGAGGGACCUUCGGGCCUCACACCAUCGGAUGUGCCCAGAUGGGAUUAGCUAGUAGGUGGGGUAAUGGCUCACCUAGGCGACGAUCCCUAGCUGGUCUGAGAGGAUGACCAGCCACACUGGAACUGAGACACGGUCCAGACUCCUACGGGAGGCAGCAGUGGGGAAUAUUGCACAAUGGGCGCAAGCCUGAUGCAGCCAUGCCGCGUGUAUGAAGAAGGCCUUCGGGUUGUAAAGUACUUUCAGCGGGGAGGAAGGCGGUGAAGUUAAUAGCUUCACCGAUUGACGUUACCCGCAGAAGAAGCACCGGCUAACUCCGUGCCAGCCGCCGCGGUAA
rnacentral:rRNA from 1 species